UACGUAGGGAGCAAGCGUUGUCCGGAAUCAUUGGGCGUAAAGCGCGCGUAGGCGGCCCUGUAAGUCCGUUGUGAAAGUCAAAGGCUCAACCUUUGAAAGCCGAUGGAUACUGCAAGGCUGGAGUCCGGAAGAGGCGAGUGGAAUUCCUAGUGUAGCGGUGGAAUGCGCAGAUAUCAGGAGGAACACCAAUAGCGAAGGCAGCUCGCUGGGACGGUACUGACGCUGAGACGCGAAAGCGUGGGGAGCAAACAGG
rnacentral:rRNA from 1 species